AAAAGCAGGGCUGAGAGAUCUUUAAGGAGCUUGUACCUGAGUGAAUGCGGGUUGAAAAGGGACACUUGACAGGUUUUAUUUGGGAAAACAGUAAAAUGAUUCCAGAUUUGUAGUUCAAUGAGUUGAGACUCCUUAAUCAAAUCAAAGAAACAUAAUAUUAUUAAAUAUUAUUUCUAUUUUGAUAUGCAUAACAAAAUUUUGAGUCAAAUGUUACUAUUCCCACACUGCAGGUGGGUAAGAUGAGGUGUCAUGAGGUCAAGUGACUUCCCCAAGGGAGUAUAGCUAGCAAAAUUCAAAUCAGGGAUUGGAGCUCUCAUCUCCCAGCUUUGCAGCCCGUGCCCUUUCUAGUCCACUGUGCUGCUCCGUACACCACACUGUUAAUUGGUGUCAUGGCAGUGGCAAGUUUAAAUCACUAAAUAACUGUUAGUUAUAAUAUUAUAAGGAUCGAACUACUGAAGCUUACAAAGGGUAGAAUGAUGCAAAUAAUUGACUCUAGUAUAAUGACAAUUCCAAUUGUGUUUUGUUUUAUUUUAUUUUUAUUUUUUCGCUAUAGAUGGUUUACAGUGUUCUGUUAACUUUCUACUAUAUAGCGUGGUGAACCAGUUAUACAUAUAUGUAAAGAUUCUUUUUUCUCACAUUAUCAUGCUCCGUCACAAGUGAGCAGACAUAGCUCCCAGCGCUAUACAGCAGGAUCUCAUUGCCUAUCCAUUCCAAUGGAAAUAGUCUGCAUCUAUUAACCCCAAGCUCCCCAACCACCCCACUCCCUCCCCCCCCCUCCCUUUGGCAACCACAAGUCUAUUCUCCAAGUCCAUGAUUUUCUUUUCUGUGGAAAGGUUCAUUUGUGCUAUAUAUUAGAUUCCAGAUAUAAGUGAUAUCAUAUGGUAUUUGUCCUUCUCUUUCUGACUUACUUCACUCAGUAUGAGAAUCUCUAGUUCCAUCCAUGUUGCUGCAAAUGGCAUUAUUUCAUUCUUUUUUAUGGCUGAGUAGUAUUCCAUUGUGUAUAUAUACCACAUCUUCCUAAUGUAAUCAUCCACUGAUGGACAUUUGGGUUGUUUCCUUGUCUUGGCUAUUGUGAAUAGUGCUGCAAUGAACAUACGGGUGUGUGUGUCUUUUUCAAGGAAAGUAUUGUCUGGAUAUAUGCCCAAGAGUGGGAUUGGGUGGGUCAUAUGGUAGUUCUAUGGUACCUCCUUACUAUUCUCCACAGUGGUUGUACCAGCUUACAUUCCCACCAACAGUGCAAGAGGGUUCCCUUUUCUCCACACCCCCUCCAGCAUUUGUUAUUUGUGAACUUAUUAAUGAUGGCUGUUCUGACUGGUGUGAGGUGGUAGCCUGUGGUAGUUUUGAUUUGACAAUUCCAAUUUUGAAGUUGGUUUCUGCUAAGAUGACAGAAAGAACUAUGGUACUUAUCCAUUUGUUCUCUAUCAGAUAACCCUGGAUUAUUUUAAGCAUAGAUUAUUGAUUUCUGUGGCACACACACUGGCCAACCUUCUAACCCCUGUUCGCUGUCUUUAGUAUCAACUCAGUGACCUUACUCCUUUUAUUUUUCUGAUAUUUUACCAGCAACCUUGAUCCAGGACUUAGUAUAUAAUAGGGCCUUCAUAAAUAAAUUUUUUGAAUGAAUGAAUGAAUGAAUGAGGAACUAAUCUUUAACCUACCACCUAAAUUCUCCCUUGAAGAGUUAGAGGGAAAAAAAAACAGAGGAGAAAAAAGAGGAUAUUAUGGGCUGAAUUUUGUGCCCCUAUGUGAAACACCUUGCAGAAUCUCUCAGAAGAUUGUGAAGAGAACUGAGGGAUAAAGGCCAGGGAACCAUUCCUGUUGUGUAGCUGGUGAAAUUUUUCCAAAUAAGUUUAUUUAGGUAUUUGAAGAAGUAGAACUACUUUUCAAAACUCAUCAGUUCACAUUCUGUCAAAGAAUAUUGGUGAAUUUCAAAAUAAACUCUUAUCACUUCAUAUUUUCUCUAUCACUGUAGAUGUAACUUGAGAUCAGAAUUUUCCUCCUUCCCUUGCCUUCUCCUCAUCGGUGUUCUGGCAUCAGAGGGAGGCCUCUGAUCCAAGCUGUCCUUUUUCCCAUACAACCAUCCACGAACUGGGAUGUCGCUCAUCCUGUCUGGUCUUUGGUCUUUGCUCCCUGCUGCUGUCAUUGGAGGUGUCAGUGUUACCAUCCGGUGGGGAGAAUGCAAAGCUCUCUGCUGCAGGAGGGUCCUCUAUCAGCACCAUAUGAUUUCAGGGCUCCCAUUUCAGCUGUUCUGCAUGAUUCCAGGGGCCAGCGACUUUGGGCUUCUCUUUCAAGCCGUUACUGGCUGGGCAAAUGGUGUGUUAAGGCUUGGCUACCCUCAGGCUCUCUCUCUGCCUCAGAAACAAGGUUUGUUCUAUUGCUGCUACACCAGGGGGCGCUGUGUAAUUCUGAGAACUCCCUCUUCAGAGCCCUCACGUAGGAAAAUAAUAUGUCUCCCAGAUUUUCAAAUGUUUCCAUGUUCAGGUUCUUCAUAUAUAAAGUAAGGGUCAUGAUAGUACCAACCACAUACGGUGGUUUUGAAGAUGAAGUAUUUUUAAUGUAUUAACAUAUGUUAACAUUCCUGGCACAGAGCAAGGACUAUGUGUUAGCUGCUAUUAGAGCAAAGGAGGUAGAAGCUGACCGUUGUUCUGUGGACCUGCAAAAAGAGAGUUGGGUGGGGGAGGGAUCCUGUCUGUGAAAUGGACAAUCCCAGGCCAGAGGGCUGCACCCAGCGUGGGGGAGGGGACAGGGAACACUUGCUCAAUCAGAGAGAAAGCCUGGAGAAGGAGGCAAUCUGCAUUCUGUCUGAAAGACAACCCCAGGAAUGGCAUUAUCAAAUGAAGGUGCCCCAAAAGGCAAUGCAGCCAUUGCCAAAUUUUCCCUUUAAUUUUUCUCCAUUAAAAACAAAACAAAACAAAAAACAAACUUGAUUAACUAUCAUGAGAGGAGAAAUGUGUAUGCUUACAGACCUGUGGUUUGCAAAUUGCUUAUAAUUCUCCUAUUACUGUCUGCCACCAAAAUAUCUCAGCCUGACAAGAUCAGAACUACUGUCAUCCUUUUACAUUUAAUUUUAAUUUACAUGAAAUAAUGUUCUUCCUGCUCCAUUUCUCCCAAUUCUUUUCUUCUCCUCCUCUGUUCAUUUUUCCUUAUCACUUCAACACUUACUCUUCUAAGCAAUGUCAUCUUCUUUGGCUUUAAUGUGCUUCACCUUUAUACAUUUAAUAAAAGCAUUAUUUUUAUUUCAGGUUUAUGUCCUCUGUGGUCGGUCACACUUCUAGGCUGUAGAGUUAAACUUGCAAAAAAUAAUAAGCUGACUGUAAAAUAGGGACAGUUUUGCUUUUGUGAGCAAUCAUUUUGGCUGGCAUUUCUUUAUUUUUGGAAACUUUUAUUUUGAAUUGAAUUUAGAAUUCAAGGGGCAUUAGAGUGCACAUGAAUGACUCCUUUUCCUCCCUCCUUUCUGCCUCUCUUUCCCCAUCUCUCCUUUCCUUUCCAUGCCUUUACAAUACACCUAUAACAUGAGUAACAUUUAAACAUUUUUUGGCUAUUGGUUUGUAUAUUUUCUAUACCUUGAAUAUGCUAUUAAGAGAUUCUCAAACAGGUUUCUUUAAAAAAAUGUUUGCUGUGACAAGACCCUGCACCAGGGAAUAACUUUGCUAUAAAUAAGCAACACACAGGCUUAGGGACAGGCAUUUGUUUUCAUUUUCAGCUCCACAAGUAAGCAUUCACUAGCUAUCACUUUUAGAGACUGAAUACGCUCGUGGAUGAAUCCUAAAUUUGCCCUGAUUUGGUAAUUAUGUGCUUGCACCAGAGCUACAGGUAUUUUAUCAUCAUACAUUACCAUCCUAAUUAUUUCAUUUUGGAAUGUAGAAACACCCAGUGCUCUGAGUCCUUCUGCCUGGUAAAUUCAGGUCAGCUUCAUCUCCUAUUGCUACUCUGACUUCCCAAAGAAUUACCUCUUACUGCAUUCCUAAUAUCACAUGUUGAAAGUUCUGACUUUACUUUUGCAAAUUAAUUUUUUCCCCCAAGAGAUGAUGGCUACUAUUCUUUUGAAUUAUUGCGUCCAUUUUAGAAAAGGAACUAAUCAUUCUUUAUUUAACAAGGAAUAUCCUGUGACUGGAUAGAGUUAGAUUCAUGUAAAAAUUCAUUUAAGUGAUAGUGAAGAUACCAUUUUCUCCCACAAAAUGUAAUUUCAAAAGUGAUUUAAAUGGAACAUAAAGAAGUCCUCGUGAAAUGGUUGCUUUUACAGCUAAGGCAGAUAUCUUAACUUCUAUCGCUGAUAUUCCUGAGUGCCUUAUACUUAGCAGGUUCUCAGUAAAUGUUUCUUGAUAUUGACAGUUUUCCAAUCCCGACUUUUGUGAUAGCUCUUGAAAGCUUUACAUAGAGUUUAAAAAAUAUGAUCCAUAUCUAUGGAUUUUGUAUUUUCUAGGUGGUGUCAUAGCUCAUGACCUGGACAAUUGCUUGUUGAUAUGGCUCCAGUAGACUGUAGGGCCAUCCACACUCCUUUGCCUACAGCAUAAGGAUACCUUUCUGUGCCCUGGCUUACAAUCCUUCCUCCUUUGCUUCUUUCUUUCAAGGCACGUGCAUUGCUUUAGGAUGUUUUAUGACAAUGAGAAAUUUACUCCUUAAUUUUCUGCAUUAAAGAGUCCACUUCAGUAGACUAAAAUUGGCUGCAAUUUUAAAAAAAUGUGUAUCAUACUUUCUGUCUAUGUGACCCAUUCCAGCGUGACUGCUUGGGGGAUACACUUUUUCCAUGUUACUGACUUUGGUGAACCUCAUUGCUUCUGCGAAAGCAAAACACCCUCCACAUUUGAGUAAAAAGAGGACUCUAGGUAGAAACCUGGUAUGAGAGGAGCAAUGAUCACUGCUUCCCUUGUUGUUUCACUGAUUCCCUCAUUCAUAAUCUUUAAACAAGCAAGCAUUUAUUAACUGCCUAUUACGUCAGGGCUUCUUCUUGGGACUUUGUUUUCCUUUCAUAUCUGCUUUUUCUUUGAAGAACUUUAUUUUGGGGCCACGUCAGCAGUAUGCAGAAAUUCCCGGGCCAGAGAUCAAACCCUUGCCACAGCAGUGACAGCCAAAACCUUAACCCACUGAGCCACCAGGAAACUCUGUAGAACUUUUAUUUUACAGUUUAAGCAGGGUUUUAUUUGAUUUUCCCCAUGUUGUUUACAUGAUGAGCAGUUACAGUUAGAAGGUAUUUCAGAAGUUGCCAAGAAAAUGGGUUAAGAUAUGGGAAGGUAACUGCAACACCCUUCCUUUUGUAUUUUCCAGUUGGUUGGUGUUCACGUGACACCAGAUUUGCUCAGUUCCUAGAGGUGUGCUACACCUGGGCUUGAUGUUCCACCUGGCUAUUCACAGCCUCAUCGCAACCUGAGAUGCCUGCUUUACUCCUAUCUCCACAAUCUUAUGAAUCUCAGAACAAAACUCCAAAAUUACUGACAACUUCUAGUUAUAUAUGAUAGAAACUUUUGAAACCUGACACAGGUUUUCCUUAGGUAAAUUACCAUUUCAGAAUAAUAUGCAUAUCUAGGAAGCAUUCGUAAUUAGAUGCAAAAUAUCUGUAAAGUCAGUUUCAGUAGCAGAGUUAUCAGUGUAUAUUGAAGCUUCUAGAUGACUCCUGUAUGUUUUGUUUUUUGUUUGUGUUUUUGUCUUUUUAGAGCCAUACCUGCGGCA
rnacentral:lncRNA from 1 species